CAAGACCUAAUGACUAAUGGUCCUGCCUUACAUAAAUACAUAUAUAUGUCUUGCUAUACUAGCCUAAAUUGAAACUACUUUAAACUUGUAAAUAUUAAUUGAAACUACUAAUUUGUAAAUAGCUAGUAUUGUUACUUGGUAGAUUAGUUAAUUGUUAAUAUUAGUUACUCUGAAUGCUUUAGCAAUACCUGUAAAUAGGUCAUGCGAAUAAAGCUCUUUU